rnacentral:lncRNA from 1 species
CCCCUGAGUGUGAUGGGGUCUACAUACCACAGAGUGCUUUGCAUUUCUAGAUGGCCACGAUUAGAAGAUGAAUGACUAUCAAAUAUAUAUGAUACGAUAUGCACAGAUAGACUAUCUUAUUUGAUGGCCAUCUGCUUUCUAAUGGCAUGCGCUCUACAAUGACAUACAGGCACUACAAAGGAUCUAUGCUUGAGUAAACUUGGAUAAGUAGUAGUAAGCUAUAGAUAGAUCCAUCCA